UACGGAGGGUGCAAGCGUUAUCCGGAUUCACUGGGUUUAAAGGGUGCGUAGGUGGGUUGGUAAGUCAGUGGUGAAAUCUCCGUGCUUAACAUGGAAACUGCCAUUGAUACUACUGGUCUUUGAAUUUUCUGGAGGUAAGCGGAAUAUGUCAUGUAGCGGUGAAAUGCUUAGAUAUGACAUAGAACACCAAUUGCGAAGGCAGCUUACUACAGGGAUAUUGACACUGAGGCACGAAAAGCGUGGGGGAUCAAAACAGGG
rnacentral:rRNA from 1 species